rnacentral:lncRNA from 1 species
UUCGUGUUCGUUUUGCAGAAUAGAAGCAGGUGCAGUUCCCUCACCUACACUUGGCUCACAUUCAAGAAGAAGUCAGCUAUACAGUUCUGAAUGUCCCAGAGCUGAGCUCAAUGAUCUUUCCUAAGAGACUGAUCAAGCAUUAUCUUCCACGGCUCUCUCUGUCAGUGCCUGUCUUUCGUUUUGCAGUUUCAGGUUCAGGACUCCUUCCAUUGAAUUUCAGUGGUUCCCAGAAAGAUGUGUGGACUCUUCUUCAUCAUAACAACCACAGUGAUAAUGAAAAUAAGUACCUGAGUCUGAAUCACAAGGUUGCUAUUAGAGGUGCUGAUUUUUGGUAAGUUGAUUCAUUUCACACUCAGUUACUUCAUCUAUAAAGUAAGAAUAGUAAUAGCCUCAUUCCUGGACCUGACCCUCUACUUUGUACCCUAAGACUGAUAUUUCUUCAUGAAUUCUGUUGGAGGUCCUAUAACACCGCAAUACCAACAGGCAGAAUCAGAAGCUAACUGUUGGUCUCUUACACACUUGGUUUAAGUCACUCUGAUCCUGUUUUAUUUCCAUUUUUCUCUCUCUGCAAAUUCAUGAGUUUCUUGAAAGCAGGGUCCAGUUCUUCCACACCCAUAUUCCUCAAGUGCUUUAGCCUAGACGUGAUGUGCAUGCUGAAUUCGUUACAAGUAGCCAGA